rnacentral:rRNA from 1 species
UGGCAAGCGUUAUCCGGAUUUACUGGGUGUACAGGGCGUGUAGGCGGGAUCGCAAGUCAGAUGUGAAAACUGGAGGCUCAACCUCCAGCCUGCAUUUGAAACUGUGGUUCUUGAGUACUGGAGAGGCAGACGGAAUUCCUAGUGUAGCGGUGAAAUGCGUAGAUAUUAGGAGGAACACCAGUGGCGAAGGCGGUCUGCUGGACAGCAACUGACGCUGAGGCGCGAAAGCGUGGGGAGCAAACA